rnacentral:rRNA from 1 species
CCUACGGGUGACAGCAGUGAGGAAUAGUGGUCAAUGGACGAGAGUCUGAACCAGCCAAGUAGCGUGAAGGAUGACUGCCCGAUGGGUUGUAAACUUCUUGUAUAUGGGAAUAAAAUGUUCCACGUGUGGGAUUUUGUAUGUACCAUAUGAAUAAGGAUCGGCUAACUCCGUGCCAGCAGCCGCGGUAAUACGGAGGAUCCGAGCGUUAUCCGGAUUUAUUGGGUUUAAAGGGAGCGUAGGUGGCUUGUUAAGUCAGUUGGGAAAGUUUGCGGCUCAACCGUAAAAUUGCAGUUGCAACUGGCAGUCUUGAGUACAGUAGAGGUGGGCGGACUUCGUGUUGUAGCGGU